rnacentral:rRNA from 1 species
AUUGAACGCUGGCGGCAUGCUUACACAUGCAAGUCGAACGGCAGCACGGGAGCAAUCCUGGUGGCGAGUGGCGAACGGGUGAGUAAUACAUCGGAACGUGCCCAAUCGUGGGGGAUAACGCAGCGAAAGCUGUGCUAAUACCGCAUACGAUCUACGGAUGAAAGCAGGGGAUCGCAAGACCUUGCGCGAAUGGAGCGGCCGAUGGCAGAUUAGGUAGUUGGUGAGGUAAAGGCUCACCAAGCCGUCGAUCUGUAGCUGGUCUGAGAGGACGACCAGCCGCACUGGGACUGAGACACGGCCCAGACUCCUACGGGAGGCAGCAGUGGGGAAUUUUGGACAAUGGGCGAAAGCCUGAUCCAGCCAUGCCGCGUGCAGGAUGAAGGCCUUCGGGUUGUAAACUGCUUUUGUACGGAACGAAACGGCCUUUUCUAAUAAAGAGGGCUAAUGACGGUACCGUAAGAAUAAGCACCGGCUAACUACGUGCCAGCAGCCGCGGUAAUACGUAGGGUGCAAGCGUUAAUCGGAAUUACUGGGCGUAAAGCGUGCGCAGGCGGUUAUGUAAGACAGUUGUGAAAUCCCCGGGCUCAACCUGGGAACUGCAUCUGUGACUGCAUAGCUAGAGUACGGUAGAGGGGGAUGGAAUUCCGCGUGUAGCAGUGAAAUGCGUAGAUAUGCGGAGGAACACCGAUGGCGAAGGCAAUCCCCUGGACCUGUACUGACGCUCAUGCACGAAAGCGUGGGGAGCAAACAGG